CAGUCAGGCAGAGUAUAUGUUCAUCACGAUUCCUUUCUGUGCCGGUGGUAGCAGAUUCACGGUUGCAUUAGAGCUUAUAUUAUAAUAAUGAGCUAUAAAAAUAAUUGGAUAAAAAUUUCAAUUAUUUUAUAUUGCUGAAGUUUCUAAGCGUAAAAUCCCCGCAGUGGCUGGUGUGAGGGCAGGCCAUUAUGAGCAGAGGUGGUGUGGCGUAUGGUGUUGAUGGUUAGCUGGUACCCUCUACCCUCUACCCACGAGCAAAGCAACACAACAGAUCCCAGGCUAUGAUAAGGCAUCACUUCUGGCUAUCAAAGCUACAGCUGAGUCCUCAUCACAAGAGGUCUUAUCUACUCUCUUCACACUUGCACAAGCAUGGAACCAGAAACCAUCUUGUGCAGCACUGCCUAUGAAUGCCCAACACUACAUGUAUGAAAAAGAUCUUUGGACAGAAUGGAAAGUAUUACUUCUAAAAAUGGACAUAGCACUUGUGCAUGCCAAACAGUUUACAUCUCUUCUGCAAACCAGAUUGCUACAGUGUGACUGGUUGAGGUAUAGAAUGCACUGUAUAUUAUAUGACAGUGGGGAAUGGAUACCACAGCAAUGGUCAUCUGUACACCACCAUCACCACUGCCUGCCUUCAGUGUCUCCUUCAAUGAAACACCAUCAUCAUAAACCUCUUCAAUUUUAUUCAGUUUCUUCAUUUGCAUCUGGCAUAGAUAUUAUUGAAUAAACAUUUUGCUUAAAUUAUAGUUUCUAUUAAAAUUUUAUGACAAAUUUCUUUCCAUGAAGACCAACUUUUACAGAAAACAAAGCAAGAUUAAUUGUACCAGGCAAUUCUCCAGCCUACAGAGGUACA